rnacentral:rRNA from 1 species
CCUACGGGCGGCAGCAGUGGGGAAUAUUGGGCAAUGGGCGCAAGCCUGACCCAGCAACGCCGCGUGAAGGAAGAAGGCUUUCGGGUUGUAAACUUCUUUUUUCAGGGACGAAGCACGUGACGGUACCUGACGCAUGCGCCACGGCUAACUCCGUGCCCGCAGCCGCGGUAAGACGUAGGUGGCAGUCGUUAUCCGGAUUUAUUGGGUGUAAAGGGCGUGUAGGCGGGAAUGCAAGUCAGAUGUGAAAACUAUGGGCUCAACCCAUAGCCUGCAGUUGAAACUGUCGUUCUUGAGUGCUGGGGAGGCAAUCGGAAUUCGGUGUGUAGCGGUGAAAUGCGUAGAUAUACGGAGGAACACCAGUGGCGAAGGCGGAUUGCUGGACAGUAACUGACGCUGAGGCGCGAAAGCGCGGGGAGCAAACAGGAUUAGAUACCCUAGUAGUC